GCUGUGUGAGCUGGGCUUGGUGUGGCCAUGGUUCCAUUCCUGGGAGCUCAGUUCCCAUGGCUGUGUGAGCUGGGCUUGGUGUGGCCAUGGUUCCAUUCCACCUGGGAGCUCAGUUUCCAUGGAUGGCUCUGUGCCCCUUCUGGGGCAGCCCCAGUCCCAGCCCUGUCCCAGCACCGGCUCCUGGCGCUGCCUUGGCAUUCCACAUCCCAAACUCUACUCCAAGGACCAGGCAUGACUUUCCAAGCACAGUUCCUGACAUUUGUAUCUGGUCCCCCUUUUAAAUUGUUUUAAAAAAAUUUUGUAUAUGGAGGAUAAAGUGCUUAUAUAUUUAUUAAAAAUCCUUUAUCUUAUUUGAAAUUAUUAUUUGGUGAAGAAGGGGUUUUUCUUUUGGGGGAGGGCUGGGGAGGGGAGGUAACUUUUAACCUGUCACUUAUAAAUGAAGCCCUGAUUAAUCCUACAGAAAGGUACUAUUAGUAACUAAUGGGAUGUCUCUGUUUUAUGCUUUGUACAUGACAAGUCCAUGUGUUACAUUUUGUUUUCUAUCAACAGAUUUGGGCAUCUGUCUUCAACCAAAACCAGAAAAAAUAGAAACAAACUGUGAUUUUAUUUGUUGCAAUACAUUUGAAAUUUCAAAGGGUACUUUGGGGCUCAAAAUUAGGAUUUCUAAGUCAGUAUGUGCAUUUCACGUAAUAAAGCUGUUAAUGGUGAGCAAAGUAUUAUAUACUAACUAGAUUUUUUCCACAUCUGUAUAGUAUAUUCUAUGUAUUUUGUGGUAUUGAGAUUAUAGAAAGUUUAGUGUCUGAAACAUGCGUUUAAUGUGUAUUUUUAAACAAAUUUAUGGCAAUUAAAAUAUUUGGAGAAAAGGGUAUCACAUUUCAAUUUGUAAAGAUCUUUUUAACUACUGUGUCAUUAAAAUGCUUUGUACAAUGCAAAACUGUAACUGGAGAAACUAAGUUUAAUAAAUAUCAAAUAGAUUUUCUGUAUUAAACUUCCAACCCCCUGUGCUUGUAUCUGUUUUGUGGGGCCUUCUCCUCCCUGGAAGUGCAUUUUUAAGCAGUAUUUUCUUUCAUUAAUCCUAUUGCUCUGUGAAACAACAGAAAAGUAGCAUCCAGUGUGUGUGUCCAGACUUGCUGAUAUUGUUUUUUGUCUUUCAGCCUCCAAGUCGACAUCCAACACAUCAAAACAGCGUUUUAAUCAAUUCAUUUUAAGACAGGAGAGAAGAGCGACCUCUGGAUGGCGUUGGGAGGAGCCCAGGUGGGAGUUGCUGGCCACAGCAGAGCUUACCUGCAGAGCAUGGCACUAGUGCAGAACACAAAGGAGGACAAGCUGCAUGAGCAGGAGCCCUGACUACUUCCAUGAAACAGGAUUUGGAAUAGCAGAAG